CGGUAAACCAAAGAGACCAGCUUCUGCGGAUGGUGAAGAGCUUAAAUCCAAAGCUGGUAACAGUUGUUGAGCAAGACAUGAACACUAACACUGCUCCAUUUCUACAAAGGUUUGCAGAAGUCUACAACUACUAUUGUGCCGUAUUUGAGUCUCUCGAUGCAACUCUUUCAAGGGAUAGCCAAGAGAGGGUCAAUGUAGAACGGCAAUGUCUCGCACGUGAUAUCAUCAACAUUGUUGCCUGUGAAGGAUUGGAGCGAAUAGAGCGUUAUGAGGUUGCAGGGAAGUGGAGAGCUAGGAUGAUGAUGGCUGGUUUCACUCCAUCCCCAAUUAGCCGAAAUGUCUAUGAAUCGAUCCGGAAUCUUAUCAAGCAAUAUAGCGAAAGGUACAAAGCAGAGGAGGAGGCAGGUGCACUUUAUUUCGGGUGGGAAGACAAAACCUUGACUGUUGCUUCAGCUUGGAGGUAGAAACAACAUAUGCCCGUUCGCUACAAGUUGAUCUCCAAUGCACAGCAUUGUUUGUUUCUGAGAGAGCAUAUGUUGUUU
rnacentral:misc_RNA from 1 species